AGAUCACGUUGAUGACAACUCCUAAGCAACCUUUUUUUUUAUCUCUCUUAUGCUUCAUAUAGUGAUUCACCAUCGUUUUGUUGGAAAUUAGCAAUCUUCUUUUUGAGUUU